UACAAUAUGGUUUUAUUAUUUUAAAGCCAAGGGGCAGAAUGCAGAUGAGGCAGUAAUCCAGAAUGUGUUGAAGAAAGUGUAAGACAAAAGCACUCUUUCUAAACUUCAAAGCAAUUAUUGCAAACUCACCAUUAUUUUGCCAAGCUGAUGUGAAAAUAUUUGCAUUUAUAAUUAUGAUCUAUGGUUUAUGAAAUUUUUACUCCUAAUGGAUUUGUAAUUGCUGCAAUAGGUACAAUUUCUUGACAUUGAUUGAUAUGAAGGAAAGAGAGAGAGGGCUAAGAAAGGUUAGGAGGGAAUGAAAUUGUUUUUAUAUGGUAAUGAUGGCCAACAAAUAUUGAUUUAUACUUUCUACGUUGUGGUUCCCAACUGCUGAUGUUAAGCCCCAUUCUGUUAUCAAUGUGUGUGAUAAAGAAACAUUGUCUAGAGAAGAUAAAUGUGACAACAGGAGGAAACAGGACUUAGGCAAGAUAGAAACGUUCGUCAACAAGUGUGGUAAAGAAACAUUGUCUGGAGAAGAUAAAUGUUACGAUAAUACGAGGAACCAGGACUUAGGCAAGAUAGAAACGUUCGUCAACAAGGACUUUGAGUACCAGCAGUCCUUGUAACAAUGGAAUUUUGACGUUAAUUGCAUUGCAGAAACAAAACGGAACAUAUUUGCAACAGAACGGCCAGGAGGGGUGAAAUUGUUAAAUGGUAAUUAUGGCCAACAAACAUCGAUUAAUGCUUUUUAGUUUGAGGUUCCGAACUGAAUAUUUUAAAGUCCUAUUCUGGUGUCAUUUCUGUCAACAAGUUCAUUAAAGGGAUAUACUGUGUCUGAACAAUGUAGAUGUGAAGAUACUAGGAGGAACCAGGAGUUAGGCAAGAUAGAACCGU